AGGAUGAUCAGCCACACUGGGAUUGAGACACGGCCCAGACUCCUACGGGAGGCAGCAGUGGGGAAUAUUGGACAAUGGGCGAAAGCCUGAUCCAGCCAUGCCGCGUGAGUGAUGAAGGCCUUAGGGUUGUAAAGCUCUUUCGCCAGGGAAGAUAAUGACGGUACCUGGAAAAGAAGCCUCGGCUAACUCCGUGCCAGCAGCCGCGGUAAGACGGAGGAGGCUAGCGUUGUUCGGAAUUACUGGGCGUAAAGCGUGCGCAGGUUGUGAGAUCAGUUGGAUGUGAAAGCCCGGGGCUUAACCUCGGAUGUGCAUCCAAUACUGUCUCGCUGGAGGUUGGAAGAGGAGAGUGCCAUUCCCAGUGUAGAGGUGAAAUUCGUAGAUAUUGGGAAGACCACCAGUGGCGAAGG
rnacentral:rRNA from 1 species